rnacentral:misc_RNA from 1 species
AACUGAUACUACCUGCGGGAACCUGCGGAAGGAUCAUUAUUGAAUAAACUUGGUUGGGCUGUUGCUGGCUCCUUGGAGCAUGUGCACGCCUAGCACCAAUUUUUACCACCUGUGCACCUUUGUGGACCUGGAUACCUCUCGAGGAAACUCGGUUGGAGGACUGCUGUGCGAAAGCCAGCUUUCCUUACAUUUCCGGUUCAUGUUUUCACAUACCCCAUACGAAUGUAACAGAAUGUCGUU